rnacentral:rRNA from 1 species
UACGUAGGUGGCAAGCGUUAUCCGGAAUUACUGGGCGUAAAGGGCUCGUAGGCGGCCAACUAAGUCAGACGUGAAAUCCCUCGGCUUAACCGGGGAACUGCAUCUGAUACUGGAUGGCUUGAGAUUGGGAGAGGGAUGCGGAAUUCCAGGUGUAGCGGUGAAAUGCGUAGAUAUCUGGAGGAACACCGGUGGCGAAGGCGGCAUCCUGGACCAACACUGACGCUGAGGAGCGAAAGCCAGGGGAGCAAACGGG